UACGUAGGGUGCGAGCGUUAAUCGGAAUUACUGGGCGUAAAGCGUGCGCAGGCGGUUGGGCAAGACAGAUGUGAAAUCCCCGGGCUUAACCUGGGAAUGGCGUUUGAAACUACGGAGCUGGAGUAUGGCAGAGGGGGGUGGAAUUCCACGUGUAGCGGUGAAAUGCGUAGAUAUGUGGAGGAACACCGAUGGCGAAGGCAGCCCCCUGGGCCAAUACUGACGCUCAUGCACGAAAGCGUGGGGAGCAAACAGG
rnacentral:rRNA from 1 species